GAAAAAUAAAUCGAGAUUUCUGACUCUGGCUUGGCAUGGAUCUUUGGAGGCAAACCAACAGAGGACAGAACACAGAGAGGAGUUGGGACUUGUGGCUACAUGUCUGCAGAGUAUGCAUUGGAUGACGUUUUUCAAUCAAGGGCGAUGUCUUUAGCUCUGGCUUAGUUGUACUUGGAACUCUGUGGGAUAAGAAAUACGGCGUCUUACAAGUCUAAUCAUAACUUUUAGCCUUUCAGCUUAUCUGAAUAAUCAAGAUUUUUGUAGCCACUCUUUGUUUGUCUCUGCAACGUCCUAAUUUUGAUUUUCGAAGUUUUCCCAGGCAUGGAGGUUGUGGAAAGAGGAAAAGGUACUGUAUGGAUCGAGAAUUAUGCGAAACUUGUGAUGCCAAAGAAUUUGUGAGGUGUGUGAAUGUUGGCCUCUUAUGUGUGCAAGAACAUCCAUGGGAUCGUUCAACCUUGUCGAACAUAGUUUUCGUGCUUGGAAGUGAAACUGCAUCUCUACUAUCUUCUAAGCAACAGGAUUUGCAGUGAGCAGAUCCCUUUCUAGCACUGGUUCUUCUUCUAGCAAAGCAGAUUCAUACGUCGAGUUAACAAAUACCUUGUGGACGACAAUGUGGGGGCCUUUUGGAAAUCCUUCUCUCCUCUGAAUCAAUCUAGCAGGGCGUGUCAUACUUCUGAUCGAUUUGAUGUUUUUUGUCUAGUUCCAUUUACUCAGAGCCAUUGUCUUUAAAAUUUGUCAAGUGAAUUCGGAUCAAGCAACAUGAAAGGAGAAAUUAUAAA